UACGAAGGGGGCUAGCGUUGCUCGGAAUCACUGGGCGUAAAGGGCGCGUAGGCGGCCAUUCAAGUCGGAGGUGAAAAGCCCAGGGCUCAACCCUGGAAUUGCCUCGAUACUGUCUGGCUAGAGACCGGAAGAGGUAAGUGGAACGUGCGAGUGUAGAGGUGAAAUUCGUAGAUAUUCGCAAGAACACCAGUGGCGGAAGGCGGCUUACUGGUCCGGUUCUGACGGCUGAGGCGCGAAAGCGUGGGGAGCAA
rnacentral:rRNA from 1 species